rnacentral:rRNA from 1 species
UUCGCAAUGCCCGAAAGGGUGACGAAGCGACGCCGCGUGGGUGAGGAAGGCCCUCGGGUUGUAAAGCCCUGUCAGGAGUUAAGAAAUGUAGAUACGCUAAUAUCGUAUCUAUUUGACAAAGGCUCCAAAGGAAGCCACGGCUAACUCUGUGCCAGCAGCCGCGGUAAUACAGAGGUGGCAAGCGUUGUUCGGAAUUAUUGGGCGUAAAGAGCACGUAGGUGGAUUUGUAAGUCAGAUGUGAAAGCCUUCUGUUCAACGGAAGAAUUGCAUCUGAAACUACAAACCUUGAGUAUAGGAGGGGAGAAUGGAACUUCUGGUGGAGCGGUGAAAUGCGUAGAUAUCAGAAGGAACGCCGGCGGCGAAAGCGAUUCUCUGGCCUAUUACUGACACUCAGUGUGCGAAAGCUAGGGGAGCAAACGGGAUUAGGUACCCCGGUAGUCCUAGCCGUAAACGAUGGGCACUAAGUAGAGGGGUUUU